rnacentral:rRNA from 1 species
GUUGAACGCUGGCGGCGUGCCUAAUACAUGCAAGUAGAACGCUGAAGGAGGAGCUUGCUCUUCUGGAUGAGUUGCGAACGGGUGAGUAACGCGUAGGUAACCUGCCUGGUAGCGGGGGAUAACUCUUGGAAACGAUAGCUAAUACCGCAUGACAACAGUUAUUGCAUGAUAACUGUUUAAAAGGGGCAACUGCUCCACUACCAGAUGGCCCUGCGUUGUAUUAGCUAGUUGGUGAGGUAACGGCUCACCAAGGCGACGAUACAUAGCCGACCUGAGAGGGUGAUCGGCCACACUGGGACUGAGACACGGCCCAGACGCCUACGGGAGGCAGCAGUAGGGAAUCUUCGGCAAAGGACGGAAGUCUGAACGAGCAACGCCGCGUGAGUGAAGAAGGUUUUCGGAUCGGAAAGCUCUGUUGUAAGAGAAGAACGAGUGUGAGAGUGGAAAGUUCACACUGUGACGGUAGCUUACCAGAAAGGGACGGCUAACUACGUG